AUAAAUAAAAUAUGCAUUAUACAUAAUUAUGAAAAAAUUCAGUAUGAAUUUUAAAAUGUUUGUGUCACAAGUAUGAGCACUAGUGGGAUAUAAUCAUGUGAGCAGUUGUCAUAAUAAUACUUAAAUGAUACAAAGUUAGUUUUCAUAAAAUUACCCAUUUUAUAGCAUUUAUUGACAUUCCUUUGUGCAUCAUCACUUGUUUUGUUCAUGUGAUGUAUGAAAUACUGUAUUUGUAGUAAUAGUUAAUAAUUCAACCACCAUGUUCUUAUUUAAUUAAUUGUGGAUCAUCACUUGUUUUGUAGGUGACGUAUGGAAUAUUGUAUUUGUAAAAAUAGUUAAUAAUUCAACCACCAUGUUCUUAAUUAAUUUGUGAUCAUAGCCAUUCACACCCCGGAGCCAUCACGUCUCUUACGUCAUAUCUACAAUCGCUACCGGUGACAUCAUCACACGCUCGUCAUCACCUUUCUGGUAAAAGUACAACCGACCGGCCCGGCUACGAGAAGUUUCUUAUGCUUUUUUUUUUUUUUUUUAAAUACGACUUUUUUUUCCGGGAGAAGCCAUCACGUGGGAGGCCCCUUUAAGUUGCCAUUGACUGAGGCCCGAGCGUGUCACAUGGACAUGAUAUCAUGACCGGGCAGGAACGCAGUAGCGAGCAAACGAGCGAGGGAGCGAGGCCACUUCUUCUUCUUGGCUUCAGAGGAGGUGGAGGAAAGAAGCAAAAAAAAAAAAAAAAAAAAAAAAAAAACACGCGCAGUCAUCUGACGACCAGCGGUGGUGACGAAGAUCGGGAUCGCGGGACUCGGACUUGCCGAUUAUACAAUACACCUGCCGGCGACUGCGACGCGCUUUUCAAGGCAAGCCGACGGAGAAAACGUCAUUCACGGUCCCGCGGAGCGGCGCCUUUCUGAGCGCUUUGCUCGGAGGUUAGUGUACGAGGCGCAAAAUAGCAGGCCGCAUCAUUGGAAGGACGCACUCCUGGAAUGAAGACUGAGGCGGCGUGGCUCAAUAUGGACGAUGACAUUGGCGUCGAGCGUGGGAGUCGGGGCCUGACACGAACAUCUUUGUGCCUCCACGUGUCGCUUCCUGGGGGACAGAAUGGAACAGGAAGCCCGUGGAAGAGCGCGCCACACCUCCACAGAGAGGCCUUUCUUUCCAAAACGCCACUUAUCCUCACAAGGGGCACGGGAAAGCUGGAGCCUCUCCCAGCAUGCUUUGGGCGAAAGGUGGACUACACCCUGAACUGGUUGCCAGUCAGUCGCAGGGCAGAUAUGGACACCAUCACUGAGCGGGAAUCGAUCCCACGCUGCCCGCACCAAAGGCAGGCAGGCGUGUGUACCAUGACACCAUCAGUGGCUUUAAUGUAAUUAUUUACUUUUCAAAUAUGUUAUAGAUAUUUAUGUGAAGAAAAAUUUUAUUUGACAGUAAAUUUAAAUUAUGAUUAGCAAUAAAACACUUCAAGUCUCUUUCAAAGAAUUGUCUGCAAAACUGCUGUUUGUUGUGAACUGAGUUGCUUCUAAAGUAUGUCAAUUUCUUGUUUUGUUUUUUUCUUUUUUGCCUUGACUUGUUUUUGCAAGACAUUUCUGGUACAUUAUCUUCAUCUUAUUUUUCUCCAUAAUUCUGCUGCAAGACGCAAGGCUACAUUAGAACUCCAAAGUACCAGACUAUCUUCCUGUAAACGUGUACAUUUCCAGUUCAUUGCCAUGAUUUUCCACAGAGCCUUGAAGUUCAUUUUUUACGGCAAGGUUGGUGGAAUAAGAGCCCUCAAACGUCUGCCCCCAGAAGCUGGUUUCACGUGGUGGUUUAGAUGUGUGUUGCUUCUGUCUAGCACCAUUUGAAAUCAGUGUUCUUGAGGACAGCAGCGCGGCCGUGAGGUGGCGGUCGAGGUCAACGGUCAGACCUUCACGUGUUCCUUUUCCUCCACUACAAGAUAACUGAUUUCCUAUGGUGCAUAGAGCCCUCAACGUUGUCCUUCUAGCACCAUUUGAAAUCGGUUAUAAAACCGUGGAUCAAUGCAGCCGGUGCGUGGAACACAAGUUGUGAAGACUACACGUGACAUUUUUUUAAAAUGGUUUGGAAUUGAAAUAAAAAAUUUCUGUUAAGUGUGUGUGCAAUGGGCUUUUAUUAGCUGCCUGUAGCUGUUAUUAUUAAUAUUACUACACACAAGAGUA